AUUAAACUUAAAACUGCUACUUUAGAAACAAAUAUGUCUGUGUUUUUCAACAGCUACUGCGCAAUUUAAUCGAUUAGUCAUUUAUCUAAGUUAAUAAAACUGUGUUUUAAAAGCAAUAAUAUAGUAGACCACAUUCUAUUGCAUCGUACUAAAUGUACUGGUAUAUACAAAAACAUUAUAAUAUAUUCAUAUUUUAAAAAUAAAUUAAAAGAAGACAUAGGUGCUUAGAGUCUUUUAUUGGCUGAGGCAACUGAUAUGAGUGUCAACUUGUGUAUCAAGUGUAACUUGAAGUGUGCAUUAUAUACUAUUCUGGAUUUAAAAAGUUGAGAUUUUUUAAAAUUUAAUUUAUCUUAAAUGUGGUACUGCUAUCAGUGUGAUUUAAGGGAUAGAGCAAAGCCUUUUUAUAUGAAUUGACUAUAUUGAAUAUACGUGAAAUUGAUUGCGACAUCGCUAAUAUAAUGGUUAACUAGCGUGUGAUUGAUGUAUUAACAUUAAUACAAAAAGAAGUAUAACACCUUGUGAUGCCAUUCAAUACAGCUUGCAGUAUCUAAUAACUUACCAGAUUACUUAGAAUCUUUAGAUACUUGUAGAAACUUACAAUUAGUUUGCACGUUCCACUAAUAAAUAGUUAUCUUAUAAAACAUUAGUUCAUAGUUAGUUUAUAUAAUGGAAUUGAUCCUUUGAAAAUUGUUCAUGUGUCAUUAACAAGAUGAUUAUCUAUAUAGAAGUUGCUGUAUGUAAAAUUCUAAAUCAAUGAGUGACUUUAAAAGAACACUUCAAGGAAGCCUGUAAUACUAUUGGUCUCAACUAGCUUAUGUAAAACAAGGUUUUUGAGUUUCUUGACGAUAUUUUAGACUUAAGUAGCUUAUAAAUACUAUUUCAGUACUUAUUUUCGGUUGCUGUUUUUUCUUUUAUAUUAUAAUAUAAUAUAUAUGGUUUGGUACAUCAAUUACUCGAAUAUUUUUACGAAAUUUUGUGAUCGAGAUAAGAAAAAUCCGGUCUAAAAAAAACAAAAUGUAAUUUUUAGUCUAUAUAAUCGACCAUGGAAUGUACUGCAAGUAUACUUAAACUGCAAAUGUUGUGCAUACUCAUUACACGUGUUUCAAGAUAUUAUAAUAUUUUACGGUUCCAAACGGUAUAAACCCGUAUGUAUAUAGGACGUCGUUUAAUUUUACGUUUCGGCCACAAUUGUUAUUUGUGCACAAAACCGCGUCGAAAAUUUAGUCGUCAUGCAUUUUAGUAUAUUAUUUACACGAAAAUUUGGAUUUCGAAAGUUUCAAUUUAAUAAUAUUGUAAUAUGAAGAAUAUCAUAUUUUAUGGUAUACGAUAAAAAGCUGUGCAUUUCACUCUCUCACUCUCUCUUUCUCUAUCUCUUUCU